GGUUCCUUUGUGUAGUGGAUCACGUUCGCUUCACACGCGAAAGGUCCCCGGUCGACCCCGGGAGGGAACCCA